UACGAAGGGGGCUAGCGUUGCUCGGAAUUACUGGGCGUAAAAGGGCGCGUAGGCGGACAGUUUAGUCAGAGGUGAAAGCCCAGGGCUCAACCUUGGAAUUGCCUUUGAUACUGGCUGUCUUGAGUUCGGGGAGAGGUGAGUGGAAUGCCGAGUGUAGAGGUGAAAUUCGUAGAUAUUCGGCGGGAACACCAGUGGCGAAGGCGACUCACUGGCCCGAUACUGACGCUGAGGCGCGAAAGCGUGGGGAGCAAACAGGG
rnacentral:rRNA from 1 species